CCGUGACGUCAUUUGACAGCUCGCGUGCACUGUUUACAUAGACUUGUCGUGUUCGAACGAAAAGUGCUGGGUAUUUUUUUUUUUAUUCAAAAUCGGCCGAAAUUACAAAAGUCAAGUGGAAACCGAAGGCGAAGUGGGCGGCAAACUUGUCUACAUGCUCGCUGAACCCGAACGAAAACGAAGCCGUGCUGCUGGCGGAGAUGGUCAAGCAAUGCCUUGUUCCGACGCUCUGCCUGGAAUGACCUACAGGGAACCGAUCACCAAGGACAUGCAAGUCCCAGAAAACUACCGCACCGUCUUCCGACCGCUUAUGCUCCAGCUCCAGCUCCCGAGGACAUGGUCAAGUUCAAUCUCGAGCGCUGCAUCCUCGCCAUCCUCCACCAGAAAAACACCGGCAGACUCUUCAUCGUCCUGUUUGAGAAGAAAAAGAAGCUGCUUUCGGAGGUUUUCCGUCGCCGAAGGCCUGCGAAGCGGAACCACUCCAAAAGAAGCUAAAACGCUACCACCGCAACCCGCUCAGGCCUAGGAGGGUCUCCAGAUUGUUAACGGAUGUAUCGGCGCAGAAUGGAGUACGCGUAUCGUGAGGAACGACAUGACCAAGCUGCUGUUUUAAAACAAUCCGGAGAAG